rnacentral:tRNA from 1 species
AGAGAUCUUGUCUUCUUGCUUACAACAAGAAAUUUUUUAUCUCUU